rnacentral:rRNA from 1 species
AACGCAAGUUGCGCCCGAAGCCGUUUGGCAGAGGGCACGUUUGCCUGGGUGUC